AUGAAUGCCUUAAAUCCAGAUGAUAAGACCACCGGGGGUGUGGAUGAGAGCAUUGUGGUUGGUCUUAGAGAUAUGCUUAAUGAGUCUAAUCCAUUGGUUCAGACUUUUAGGGAGGCAAGUAGGAUGAUAGAGGGACGUGGUGAUGAACCCAUCGAGGAUAUCUCGAUUCGUAUUAUUGGGCCUUCGAAGGGUGAUAGUCCACAGUUUAGCAUGCCUACAACCACCGGGCUUGCUGCUUUAGUCGUCGGUGGUGACUUUACGUUAGAGGCGUCUUCUCGAGAUAUUGUUGUUUGCAGUUGUUCCGAUGGUUUGCGACAGAUAUCUUCUCUGAAUACUGUGUUCAUGCCCCUACAGUGCCCGUUGCUUUUCCCUUAUGGUGAGCGAGGGUUCCAAAUAGAUGUUCCCCACUUAGCUGUUCCUGAAGAUGGUGAUGAUGAUGGGAAUGACCUGUUUAGAUCAGAGCACAUCCAGGGUAUUGCCGAUUUGGUAGGUGAUGGGUGUGUCGAUGGUGAUGCUGUUUGGAAGAGGACCAUCGUGCCUUCUAGUGACAUGGGUGGUCAUCGUUACUUUAAUGAAAACUUCCAUGAUGGCCUUGCCAUUUGUCGAGUGCAUGGUGCACCAGAUGUAUUUACCACUUUUACUUGCAAUCCUAAAUGGCCCGAGAUUACAGCUGCGCUGGAGCCAAGGCUGAUGCCACCUGAUAGGGCAGAUGUUAUUGUAAGGGUCUACCACAUGAAGCUUGUUGAGUACUUAGACGAGAUCAAGUUAGGCCGGGCUUUUGGCCCCAUUAAGGCUUUGAUGUACACCGUUGAGUUCCAGAAGCGGGGGCUACCUUACGCGCAUAUACUUGUCUGGAGGAGAGGGGGCAGCGGCGAGCCAUAUGGUACUAUCCACAAGUGUGCUGGUGUAGAUUGUUCCUGCACCGAUGCAGUACCGAGGUAUCGGAUCUGUGUCGUAGGUGCUGACGACACAGGGGAAGCUGAGUUCGUCCUGUUUGAUAGGGCGGGAAAAGAUCUUGUUGGAAAAUCUUUGAUUACUAUGAUCCAUGAAGGAAAAUCCAACCGUGUUCCACUUGAUAAGAUAGUUCGGAUGGCACGUGGGAAUGACAUUGUGCCCCGAGAAAUUACUGCACUCAUUGGACAGAGAUAUGCAUUUGUGGUGUUUAUCUCCUCAAAGAGCUUCUUACCUCACACUAAAAUGACCUCAUUCCAAGUCAACAGGCUAGAUGUGCCCAAUGAAACAGCCGUGAAAAAUGCGGUUGUGUAUCGCAAGGCAAACUCACCCAGGCAAUCUGAGAGUGAUACUGGUUCACUCACUUGUGCUGGGUUAUCAACUGGUGCGCCGCUCACUGGGUCCAUUCCACCAUUAUCACUCACAAAUAGCGAGAAUGCUGACAAGAUUGUUCAUGAGGGAUUAUACUCAAAGGAGCUUGCCACUCCUGAAGCCAAUAAGAAUUGUUCUUCACCAGCUUCUGUCAACAAAAGUGCCACUACACAUAUGGUGGCAGCAAGUGGUGUGCCUAAGUCUGGGCUGCGUAAACCUCUGUUUUCGGAUGGCCGUGCUCAGGGGCCUGCAAAGAUGAUUGGCGGCUCCGCUGUUCUCGGUGAUGAGAUUGCUGCUGCCUCAGGGUAUAUAUCUGAUCAACCGAAGGCCUGGUGGAAGAUGAAGACGAGGCUUCUGCGGCCAAAAGGGCCAAGCUGUAGAUCAGCCGCCCUUAGGCAGAAAGUUCUUUUGGUGUGCUCGCUAGGCACCAUCUUUAUCAUUGGCUACCUCUUGUUCUGUACGUGGUUUGGUUCUUACCCGAACUUGUGUUUCUUACAAGAGCAUAGAGCGGUGGUUAGGUGUCCGCUCGAAAUGAUGGCCCAGCAGAUGGAUGACUCGAUAUGUGGCUUUUGGUUGCUGGUGAAUGUAAAGAGAAGCUUGCCUAUCUUAUUUAGUAUGCCCGUUGUCCAUGCUAUGGUCUAUGUUGAUUAUACACAGUCUGAGGUGCUAUUCAUUGUGUUCUUGCAGCCACCACGGCAUAGGGGGCACGGCUCUAUCCGUGUUGACCUAAACCCUAACUCAGUUGAGGCUGGUCUCUGUUUCCCUUUGCCGACGGCGAACUCUAUCGAUAAGACAAAUGGAUCGACGGGGUUUCUUCUCACUGGUCGGUGUGCUCGAGACGUGGUUGGUGCAACCGCCUUGCAGGUCGUACGGAACAAUCAGCCCGAUGAUGAGCCAAUUAAGAACCUGUACCACGCUGCUACUCGGACGAGGUUUCCACCAGCUGAAUUUAAGGCCCUUAUCUCCAAGAAGUUCAAAUUUGUUGUCCGGGUUAGCCAGGAUAGCUUCAGGUCAAGGCGCCCGAUGUUUCAUGUUAUGGCAAUUGAAUCUUGUGUUGUUCUGAUGCCGCACCAAUCAUCGCUUGAUGUCGCCGUGCCCCUUGGUGACAUUGAGCCAUGCUUUGAACUGACGAGCAGCAAACAAGCUGGGAAAUGUGUCGUCUACAAUGCUCGCAAGGAUUUAUUUGGCAGACGCAAGCGUGGCCGCGAAGACUCCUCUCUCUGCUCGUCGACGCCCGGCGACACCUACGCCGUCGGCUUCGACAGUCAAUCCUCAACGCCUGUCACAACAGAGGACGGGGACAUUAGAGCUGUUUGCAAGAAGGGAUCCCCAGGCUCGGCAUCAUCGAGGACAGGACUCUCUGAACCAAAGAGGACUAGACCACGUAUCACUUGUUUUCAUGGUAAAUCUUGGCACAAGCACAGAUCACAUAGCUGCUGGCUUCAAAGCAUCACCAUUUCCAACUGCUACCUGAAAGAUGACUAUGUAAUAAUGAUUCCCAAUUCCCACAUCUUUGCCCUUAUGCUUCAAGCUCUCAAGUUGCCCCCUGCAACUUACCAUCACAAGACAUGUCCGGGCAACCAGUCCCGUGUGAUGGUUACUUUCAAUUCAUCGUUGCAGUUAGUCAAUGGUUUGCUUGUUCCAACCUCGAUAUCUGGUGUGAUCUCAAAGAACUAUGAUGAAGCAAAAGACAUUGCUGCUAUGGCAUCCAUUAUGUUUAUGGAGGAUGCAUGUGGCAAGGAAAUCAGGGAUUAUCACUACAUCCACGUUAAAAGGCUGGAAAAUAAAGUCACACACCUGGUAAGGUUGCUGUGUGCAGCAAAAAAGACAAUAAAGAAGGUACGCAGAGGAUGGUACUAUGCUGUCAGAUACAUGAGCUCGUAUUCUACCCAGAUACAGAAUACCACAGCUGCUCGGUGCCGAAGAGGGCAUGACAACACCAAAGGGGCUAUGAAAACAACACUCGCAAGCACAGGAAUUGGCAAAAAGACUACGUUAUAUUGGCAUGAAAUCGGAGCAGCGCCUAGAGACCACAGAUAG
rnacentral:rRNA from 1 species